CUGAGGUGAUAUUUGAAACCUGGUACUGCCCUUCUGAACAAACACACUUGCCUAAAAAGCCAGCAAUGUCGUUUAAUGAAAAGAAUGCAUAUAUUGCCAUUCCACUGCCACAGAAUGGAAAUGGGUAACUUCGCCAUACAAUCCUUGCAACCGUUUACUUUCUUCUGCAGGGACUUCUCCUUUACCUAAGCUUUCACAGUGCCUAACUUCAUGCCCUACUGUAAACUGGAUCGCUGUUAACCUCAUACAAUUUUUUGUUAUUUAAAAAUCUGUAUCACAGAAUCACAGAAUGGCUUGGGUUGGAUGGGAUCUCAAGGAUCAUGAAGCUCCAAGCCCUUGUUGCAGGCAGAGCAGCCAACCUCCACAUUUAAUACCAGCCCAGGUUGCCCAGGGCCCCAUCCAACCUGGCCUUGAACACCUCCAUGGAUGGGGCAUCCACAGCCUCUCUGUGCAGCUGUUCCAGCACCUCACCACUCUCAUAGUAAAGAACUUCCCCCUGACGUUCAACCUAAACCUUUCCUCCUUCAACUUCAAACCAUUUCCCCUUGUCCUGCUAUGAUCUACCCUUUCAAAGAGUCGAGCUGCUCUUCAGCAUAUCUUUUUUUUCAUACACUCUCUCUCAUAUUCUCUAUCUCCUAUUAGACAAGAAAGAAUAAAAAUGCUCAUCUCAGUUAUCUAAUAAACAUAAAUGCCUUCUGCAAGUCUGAACAAGGCUGAGGAACAGAUGUUAUAUACUUACAAACAGAGUACCAAAUGAUUUAAGUUGCAACAACCAUGUUACAGUUAAAUGCAGCAUGGAAUGCACUGGUCAAAUUACAAAUUAGCAUUAAUGCACAAUCAAUUCAACUAAAAAGUGAAGACAAUGUUACUGUGAAGAAUGGCCUUUUUUAGUCAAACUCAAUGAGAAAUCAAUGAUUUAGUUUAACAGAGGGGGAAACACCAGGAAAGGAAAUACAUUCACAUUUCAGAGAACUUUGCGAUUAACUGCAAUACUGACAAUGAAUAUUAAGUAUAAUUCUCCACUUCCUCCUUGCUUGCAUGGGAACAAACAGUGCUCAGAUUUGGAAUAAAUCAGUGCAAAGCUAAUACAGCCCCAUUUUGCCAGCACAAAGUUUCAUCCUCAUCAGCACCGUCAUGCUAAUUAGAACUGAUCCAUUUGCUUCUUCCUUGUGGCACUGUGCCUCUCUGCUACCCUGCCAGUGAGGAAAGGAGGUCAAAUCAGUGAAAAAUUAAUUCAUAUCCAUCAAGACACCUGUACUCUGCCAGAGUUUUGUACUACUGCAAGCCAGGCCUGUGCCCAAACUGUUCUGGGCACUCCAGGCAGGAGCAGUGGCAGAACCCAAAAGACAGACUUUAGAAACUGAAUACCUCCAAAUAACUUGGUCAUGUUUUUGAUGGCACUUCAGAGAAGAAAACAUAGAACCCAAACUACCUCAUACUAAACCUAAACCUAGCCACAGUGUGUUACGACGUAAAUCUUGGGAGAUCCUUCUGCUAACAUCACUGCAAAGGCCAUGAGCAGGAUGUGAGCAGCUGCCUCCAAAUGAGAUGCCUGUCAGCAGACAGGAGGCUGGAGACAAGCCUCCAUGUGAGCCCAUGUGAUCAAAGCAGGUAAUCCUUCAAACCUUCUCUGCAGAGAUUUUAUCCCAGUGCGGCAGUCAGGCCAUGAGUCACUUGGCAUGAGUCACACUCCCACCAACUCCUCCCAGCAGCAUCAGGGUUUCAGGUGGAAAAUUAAAGGUGUGUUGUGGACCAAGGUUGUGAAACAGGUCACUCUGCAUGCUGUGUUUCAGAUGCUUCCUACAGGUGUCCAUCUGAAUGGCUCAAGGAUGGCAAACCUAUAAGCACUCUGGAGAACUUCUUAAAAUGAACACUACACCUUCACACAACAGGUUAGAAGAGAAGUCCCUUGCAACUAUCACUGCAAUACGGCAUAUUUGCAGUUAAACUUCACUUUUACACCUUCUCUUUUUCUGACCCCAUGAAAUGAGAAGCAAAUGUCUCACCACUUGCAGGGAUGGUUUAGCAUUGCUCCUUCUGGCCAGUGGCACCACAGAAGAGUCUGAAGAUUACAGUCAGCAGGAAGGUUGGUGUAGCUCUUGGUUUGUAUGGGUCUUCUCAGUGCAUUGCACAAUGUUAGCCUCCUUCAGGUGGAUUCCUUCACCAAAGCUUGGCACUACUGCCUUGAAUAUGGACUGUUGCAUCACACCAUUCUUCCUUCUUCCUCUUUCCGGAGUAUUCAGCUACGUUUAAAUCUGAGCUUUGGGCAGCAGAAUGCAUACACCCUUGCACUCAAAUGUUAAAAAGAAGUGGCACGCUUCAUAAUCCCAGAUAAAGACGUGGACACUAAGAUUUAAAUUCACCUCAGUAGCUGGCGAGGCAUCGUCUCCAAACAGUCUUCUACAAAGACUGCAGAAGACAGAACCUUAGCCAGGAAAGGGGAAGGACAGGGUAAUCCCCACUUCCUGCAGACCUUCUUCCUCAUUUUAUUGAUCUAUUCUCUAACACAGUCUGCCCCAUCUUUUCAUCUCCUGCAUCCACACAACGAAACCUCAAGCAGUGGUUGAACAUUUCUGAGCACGGGAGGCCUUCCACAUCCAAACUGCCAUCCAAAUUGCAUGUUGGUUUGCAUUGCAUUUUGCACCAACUAUAAUUUAGUUCAAGAACAGACUCACAGCACUUGUUUCUGAACCAAUUCACAGGGACGUGCCGCAUUCUGUCCUGCCGCGCUCCCCAUCUGCCUUACCAAAGGGUAUUUAUAAAUCCCUGGAACUGGAUUGCCUUUCAGGGAAGGCCGCAAGGUCCAGUCCAUCAGGUGCUGGAAUUCUGCAGGGCAGGAGCAGCACCAGGCUCCUCAUGCCUUGUGGAUGAUGGCAGAGCUCCUUUUAGUUCUUAACCUUUUCCUUCACGGCAGCAGGAAACCGUGUCAGUGCAAGUGAACAUGCCGCACCGGCACGAAGAACAAGCCCGGCUGCCAAGCUAAUUGUGGAGACAGGAACGGGGGCUAGGAGGGUAGACAGGAGAUGGGGUGCCUUUUUUAUUAGAGUUGUUCUGAUGCCCUACUAAAUGGGCCAAGAGGAGGGAAUGUAUCCUCUCAGAUCAAGACGUACUGUGCAAUGCAGGGAUUUUAUUCUUCUAAAGGAAAAAUCUUGACAACCAUAAAUAGGAGCAUUCACAUUACAGGGAAAUUCUAGCUAGGCUUUUCAAUACAUCUCCUGCAAAACAUUCCAAAUUCAAUCACUUUCUUCUAUCUGAGCUCACGUGCACACUACAGGAUUCACAUACUUCACCCCUCAUUACCCAUGGCCAGACUGAAGUCAGUGCAGCGAGGGGUGAAAAGGCUUAAGAACCACCUCUUAGCAAUAACCCUCACCACGGGCAGAGGUAAGGGGAAAGACUGAAAUGUAUUUGGUUUUACUUAAACUGUCAGGGAAAAAAGAGGAAGAAUGGCAGAGGAAGGAAGGAAAACAAAAGGAAAGAAGUAGAAAUUUCUAUGUACAGGGGAAAGUCCCAAUUAUCUCCUGUGUUGGACUGAUAUAGAAUGCACAAGAGAAUUUGUGGAAGUUCUUAGAAGAAGAAAGAGUCAUAUAAUGGUUCUUGAGUCUUUUACUUUCUUAGUGAGCAGCACUUGCUGUUUUAGUCUCCUCUAUUCUCCAAAAGAGAACAUCGUGGGGGUACUCAGCAUAUAGGUAGGCUACUUCCAAAUACCUCAUAAUGCUCAGGCAAACACCCUCAGGCAGCCUGGAACAGAGGUAUACUUGAAACUGAACAGUUUUGGACAACUCAGUACAAAAAAAAAAUUGUCUUUAUGAAAUAAGGAGUCUCUAACUUCAUUUUUGAGAUAUUGCAGGAAAGGGAGAGAAAGGAAAUCCGUUACCUGCAGACAUACUUGUGUCCUUCAAGGUUUCCCUUCUCCCUACCAAAAUUCCCUGUUGGUCUGUGAUCAUUUGAAAAUCUAAGAUCCAUAUGCUUUAAUGAGCUGCAGGCAAGGGAGACUGGCCACUUCUGGAAGACCUAUGACAUUUCACAUCAUUAGAUACGAGCCUGUUCUAGGAAAUGGAAUUUUUAUACUCAUCAUAUCCUUCCAAUACAUCGACUCCAUCCAUUAAUGGCAGCCUUCCAAUGCUCUGCUUAGUUUUACUGCCAAGCCAGGAUCAUGCAGGGGAACAAAUAACUGAAGUCUAUUAGUAACAGAAAAAUGCUAUGCAAAAGCAAACUCAGCAGAGCUGCACCAUGGAUAGUAUAGCAAAUUUCAGAGGAGAAACAGAUUUUUCUUUUUCCAGAACAGGCAACAGUGCUCCUCCAGCUUUUGCCCAUCACUCCCUGAUGCUCUCCAGAUUUGCAGCCAGAAGGAAGGGGAAGGACAAAGUCCAAGAGAAUCAGGAUAGAGGGAAUUCCGCAAGGACCCACAGCACAAACAGCAAGGAUACAGCAGGGCAGGCCCAGCAGGAUGUGUGUGCACCAGGGCUGAGUGCAGUUUUGGUGGAGGAAUAAGGCGCUGCUGGGUCAGAAGAGCACAGAAAAGGGCCUCUUCAGCCAGAAAAGCAGCGGCUCAGCUCUUGAGGGAAGUCAUGCUCCUGUGUAGGACAAACACUGGCAUGCUUGAGGUGCCCACGCAAGUUUCUUCACCACUGAGAUACCUCCCAGAGGGCUCCUUGAGAAUGGGCACACUAUCAGCAGCAGGAUGGUGCCUCCCAGGUGCUUCUUGCUAUUCCAGACUCUGCAUGGGAAGAGGAGGUGCUAGCAGGCAUCAGCUGGCACAGACUGGGGCUGCAAGCAGUUGCUGUGCCAUCAGGGUACCAGCAACAGCCAGAUGCAUUCGUCUUUAAAUUUCGGUGCCCAUGACUCAGGCCCUUUCAUGCUCAUGACCUAUCCUGGCCUCCUCAUCCUGGCCCUUCUUGGAAACAAUGUUACUCAGUUGCUAAAUUAAACACUACUUAACUAAUAUAUUUAUCCUGAUUUUUACAAGUGACAAAGGCAACCUGUUCAAAGACAAACACUUCACUCACUAUCCA
ensembl:lncRNA